rnacentral:lncRNA from 1 species
UAAGAUCAAGUGUAGUAUCUGUUCUUAUCAGUUUAAUAUCUGAUACGUGGACCAAUGGUUCACAUGAUAUUAAAUUUAUUUUUUUAUGGGGAGAGCCCAUUACAGUAGCUUGCUACUGGGGCUCUCACGCGUCGCCCAUGCGUUGCACUGCUGUUAGGGCCCGGCGCACCCCCCAAUACAAGUUCAAUCUUUGGAAAUUUCAAUUAUUCAUUUUUUAAUUUAUUGUUUAAUGUUUAAUAAAGUAAAAAAUUUAGUUUUUGUUUGUUUAAAUUAUUGUUAUAAAUAUUAAAGUUAUAAUAAAUUUUAAAUACAAUUAUUGGUUUCAUUGUUUCAGAUCGAGGCCCCUUUAUUUGUGCUUCCCAUAUUUGCAUAUCAGCGUUCAAAGAUUUGCCACCAAAGAGCAUUCAUUUUUCUUCUCGAUUUUCUGGAGGCGGUUUCCUUUGGCCCUAGUGGUAGACGCGAGAGGCGAUUGUAGAAUUUUCUCAGAAUUUUCUCUUUCCUUUCUUUAAACCGUCUGGUUUUCCAUCGUUCUAACAUAUUUCGGAGUUGCAUGAGUCUUUUACAUUGUUAUCCGUGCUUCAUUCGUCUAAUUCUUCUCUGGUUUGCUAUAUGUGAUCGAUUUCUUGCUCUCUCGUUUUUUAGUAUAUAGUUUAAAGCCUAUUGACUAUUAUUGUGGAAACUCUCCAUUUGUGUUUUUUGGUCUAUCGAAAACGAUGAUCGGAGCUGAUAGAGAUAAAAUGCGGCUCUCUGUGAUGUAGUUCGAGUCAUGUUUUGGAUUUACCGGACAUGGGUUUUAGGUUUAUUUUUUAUUAGGUUAUUAUGUUCUGGGCCUUAAAAAUUCUUGUUCUUCUGAAUUAUGAUUCUCAAUGCCUUGGACUUGUGCAUCAUCUCUUGGAUUGUAG